AAGCGAAUAAACCGGGGCUCACUAUUAAUUACGAAAACCGAAAAGUUUGAACACGUCCCACCCGGGCGGUGCGGAUGGCGACGGCGCGGUGUGUGAGGCGAAAUGAUGUGUGUAUGUCAUGAGUGUGUGAGCGUUCCGUGAGCGCAUGAAUGAGUGUUUUGUGAGCGUGACGUGCGUGGCGACG
ensembl:ncRNA M04B2.12 ncRNA